CGCGGCCUAUCAGCUUGUUGGUGGGGUGAUGGCCUUCCAAGGCGACGACGGGUAGCCGGCCUGAGAGGGUGAUCGGCCACAUUGGGACUGAGAUACGGCCCAGACUCCUACGGGAGGCAGCAGUGGGGAAUAUUGCACAAUGGGCGGAAGCCUGAUGCAGCGACGCCGCGUGAGGGAUGACGGCCUUCGGGUUGUAAACCUCUUUCAGCAGGGACGAAGCGUAAGUGACGGUACCUGCAGAAGAAGCACCGGCUAACUAUGUGCCAGCAGCCGCGGUAAUACGUAGGGUGCGAGCGUUGUCCGGAAUUACUGGGCGUAAAGAGCUCGUAGGCGGUUUGUCACGUCGUCUGUGAAAUCCUAGGGCUUAACCCUGGACGUGCAGGCGAUACGGGCUGACUUGAGUACUACAGGGGAGACUGGAAUUUCUGGUGUAGCGGUGGAAUGCACAGAUAUCAGGAAGAACACCGAUGGCGAAGGCAGGUCUCUGGGUAGUAACUGACGCUGAGGAGCGAAAGCAUGGGUAGCGAACAGGAUUAGAUACCCUGGUAGUCCAUGCCGUAAACGGUGGGCGCUAGGUGUGGGGUUCCUUCCACGGGCUCCGCGCCGUAGCUAACGCAUUAAGCGCCCCGCCUGGGGAGUACGG
rnacentral:rRNA from 1 species